GCCAGCCUAGUGUAGUGGUUUGAGCACUGGACUAGGACUCCAGAGAACAUGGUUUGAAUCCUUGUUCAGCCA
rnacentral:tRNA from 1 species